rnacentral:rRNA from 1 species
AGGUAGCGAAAUUCCUUGUCGGGUAAGUUCCGACCUGCACGAAUGGAGUAACGACUUUCCCACUGUCUCAACCACAGACCCGGCGAAAUUGAAGUACGAGUAAAGAUGCUCGUUAGCUACAGAAGGACGGAAAGACCCCGUGGACCUUUACUAUAACUUGGUAUUGGGUUUCGGCAUGUGUUGUGUAGGAUAGGUCGGAGACUUGGAAGCGUGCGCGCUAGCGUGCGUGGAGUCACCCUUGAAAUACGACCCUGCUCAUGUUGAAGCUCUAACCUAGGACCCUUAUCGGGUUCGGGAACAGUGCCAGGCGGGUAGUUUGACUGGGGCGGUCGCCUCCUAAAAUGUAACGGAGGCGCCCAAAGGUUCCCUCAGACUGGUUGGCAAUCAGUCGUCGAGUGCAAUGGCACAAGGGAGCUUGACUGUGAGACUUACAAGUCGAGCAGGUACGAAAGUAGGGCAUAGUGAUCCAGCGAUAGCGUGUGGAAGCGUCGUUGCUCAACGGAUAAAAGGUACCCCGGGGAUAACAGGCUCAUCUUCCCCAAGAGUCCAUAUCGACGGGAAGGUUUGGCACCUCGAUGUCGGCUCAUCGCAUCCUGGGGCUGAAGCAGGUCCCAAGGGUUGGGCUGUUCGCCCAUUAAAGCGGUACGCGAGCUGGGUUUAGAACGUCGUGAGACAGUUCGGUCCCUAUCCUCUGUAGCCGUAGGAUAUUUGAAGAAGGCUGUCCCUAGUACGAGAGGACCGGGAUGGACGAAGCUCUGGUGUGCCAGUUGUUCCGCCAGGAGCAUGGCUGGUUGGCCACCUUCGGAAAGGAUAAGCGCUGAAAGCAUCUAAGCGCGAAACCUGUUCUGAGAUGAGAUAUCCCACUGGAUAACCAGGUAAGGCCCGUGGAAGACCACCACGUUGAUAGGCCGGAUGUGUAAGCGCAGUAAUGUGCUCAGCAGACCGGUACUAAUCGGCCGAGGGCUUGGGCUU